rnacentral:tmRNA from 1 species
GGGGGUGUACUGGUUUCGACUGAUGGUUUGAAGAGCAGACUGCGUGUCGAGGUUGAUCGGCUGGCCUCGUAAAAAGCCGUUCAAAAAACAAAUGCAAAUAACGAACCUGAACUUGCGCUGGCAGCCUAAUUGAGUUGCCCGGGAUUUGGCCGACGCCGGCUGAGCCAACUCCCGCUACCUUAGCCGGCUUAGUCUCCUGACGGGUGUCCGGUCAGAUGGAUGAAAGGUUACAGGGCAACCGGGGAGANCGGAUUCUGUCGAUCGAAGACGCCUCCCCUAAACUAAAAGAUCGACUAUGCAUGUAGACGUCUGUUUAGACAGCUGUUAGGACAGGGGUUCAACUCCCCUCACCUCCACCA